rnacentral:rRNA from 1 species
UUCGCAAUGCCCGAAAGGGUGACGAAGCGACGCCGCGUGUGGGAAGAAGGCCUUCGGGUUGUAAACCACUGUCGGGAGUUAAGAAAUGUAAGGGUGUUAAUAGCGCCUUUACUUGACAAAGGCUCCGGAGGAAGCCACGGCUAACUCUGUGCCAGCAGCCGCGGUAAUACAGAGGCGGCAAGCGUUGUUCGGAAUUAUUGGGCGUAAAGAGCACGUAGGCGGCUUUGCAAGUCAGUUGUGAAAGCCUUCCGCUUAACGGAAGAACAGCAGCUGAUACUACAGAGCUUGAGUACGGGAGGGGAGAGUGGAACUUCUGGUGGAGCGGUGAAAUGCGUAGAUAUCAGAAGGAACGCCGGCGGCGAAAGCGAUUCUCUGGUCCGAAACUGACGCUGAGUGUGCGAAAGCUAGGGGAUCAAACGGGAUUAGAUACCCCGGUAGUCCUAGCCGUAAACGAUGGGCACUAAGUAGAGGGGUUUU